UCAUCAUCUCUCCACUCAUCUAUUUAUCCAUCAUCCCUCUACUCAUUCAUCAAUCCACUAUCCCUGCACUCAUCCAUCCAUCCAUCCAUCCAACCAUCCAUCUACUCAUCUAUCUAUUCUUCCAUAUACUUAUUUACUUCCUGACCACCACCACCGCCACCAAAAAUGUAGCAAUUCCUUUUAGUAACAGCUGCUUCGAUAUCAUCAUGAGCUUCAUCAAGGUGACUAAUUUCAGAGAAAGCUUUGAGAAUCAGAAACUUAAAGAUUGGCAUUGGAUGUCACUGAGAAAACAGCAGACAGAUGUUAACAUGAGCUCUGCUGUUCUGAGUGGUAUUUUCCUGGAAGUCUGUCAAGGAGUUUUCCAACUAAAAUUAACUUUGUGACAUCUGAGCCAGAAACACAAGCUGUGCUUCAUUCCCAGCCCUCAUGCAUGUGCCUGCGUGCAUGUGUGUGACUGCCACUGUGUGCCUGUGCCCGUGUGCACAUGCUUCUGUGUGCCUACAUGCUUAUGUGUGUAGACUUGUAUGCCUAUGCCUGGUGUAUGUGUAUGUGUGCAUGCGUCUGUGUGUUGGGGAUGAGAUCAGGUAUAGUAAAUAUUUUGGGGAAUAGUAAGAAAAGGCAGCAUUGUAUUAAUUGGCACAUCGUUCACAAGAAUUUAAACACCAUGUAGCUCACUUUACAGAACUCAAACAUGCUUUCUGAAUUGCAUUGAAUUGAAGGAAGAAGCACACCUUUGCCAGGAUUACUCCAGGGAAUCUUGUCAUUCAGUCACCAGCAAAGGUGGAGUGGAUUCUUUAUAAUGUGCCUGUCUUUAGUUAUCCAGGUGAUAACAAUGAAUGACAGAUGAAAUGGCAACCAGAAGGCCUGACUAUUUCUAAGGCUGACUCUGUAGGCUAUAUUUUGAAGUGUCUACCUUUCUAGAAAUGGCUCCAUUUCUCCCCAGGGACUCCAUUCUUUGAACUCCAUUAAUAGGCUUUUUUGUCUUCUGGCUUUCAGUUGCAUUUGGUCAGCGGCGGUGGUGAUGGGAGUAGCCAUCGGGGAGGGGGACACAAACAGCAGGCUAGAAGGGGUAUGGAGGAAAGUUAGAUUGGGUAUUUAUUCCCCUGGGUUCUUUAUAAGGGUUACUUUAGGCUGGUUGCACCCCUUGACUGAAAUGCAUAAUUCUGUGUCAGCGCUUUGGGUAUCUGCUACCUCUUCCUUCCCCUAUCAAGCCUCGGAUGGAAACAGGAACUGCCUUUAUCAGCUCUGGCCUCUUGCACUGUCUCCUGUGAUCUUCCUACCCCUUGCUCAUGACUUUGUAAUAAUUCCAUUUAUUAGCCUUAACUUGUCCCAAUUUUCUGCCAAGGUGUCUCUGAUACACAGACCAACUGAAGUAAUGGGACCAUAAAGCAAGUCUAAACCCAUCUGUGUGUGAUUUUUCUCCAUUGAAAGUUAUAUCAUACCAGACUUCCUUGCCCACAAGAAAGUUGUCAAGGCACAAUGAGAAAGUAGAAGAAGGGUUCUGGAAGGGUUAAAAUAAAAAGGCAAUUCAACAGUAAGAUGCUAAUGCACCUUAUACAAUGUCAUCUCUGUAUCUUUUCAGCUAUAAUAAUAGGCAAGAGGAAAAUGCUUAGUCACUCACUAUCCCAGGAAAGUGGAUCCUGUGCUUUCUGAGAUGUUCAUUAGGCAGCAUCUUGCUUUCUACUGAUAAUUCAGCUGAGCAUGAAAAAUGUGUUGCACAAAUUCCAAACUUCAUCAGAACAUCCCCACACAUGGCUGGGUGCCCUCCAUUCUGUGGACACAGAUGUCCAGUCGCUGAGACAAAUGAGUCACACUGGAAAUCGGGGACAGAGCAAGGACAUGUGACAUGUGACUUCAGCUAUAAAAUAACACAGCAGCUCCCAUCACCUGCUCCUCAGAGAGCUCAUGUAGGUCUACAGGAGCAAGGAUGUAAGUCCCUUUCCCCUAUGUCUCCCUGAAUGACUCUCACUUGGCCAUAAUUUACAAUGAGAGGGUAUACAUGCUUAUGAAGGAUGCAUAUCUUUGCCUCUGUCUAUCCUGACACUGGCCCUGGCCCUGUGGACUAGAAAGUCUUUGAGAAAAUUGUGAGAUCCUGCAAUUGUGUGAUUUCCUUCCGUGUACCCAGGCUCUGAAUCGGAGCGUAGACAGCGACCAUCAUUGGCCAGGGAGAGUCUAGAGGACAUGUCAUGGCUGUCUUUUUUGUCUCUCUUUUGUUAGAUUCCUGAUAUCAUUUAUGGCCACAGGUCAUUUUGCCGAAGAGGAGGAACCUGGGAUCAAGUUCUGUGACUUCAAAGAAGAGUCAUGUGUACAAAACUUUGGGAGACGAUCACCACAGACAGGAUUUGGAGACAGGAGCCUAUUUGAUCUUUUUCUUCUCCUUCUUAAAAGUGAUAAUAUGAACAUAAAACUAUUUACAGCUUUAAACAAACCCGUAGUUCAGUACUGAAGCAUGCAUAACACAUUCCUCUCAACUGAACAAUACACAAGCAGGCAUUCUGGAGAUUUUAUUGCACCAGAUUGGUGUGAUUAUAAGUAAGAAGAUUGGCAACGUCAGCUCCCUGGAAAAAGGCUUGACACAGGAAGAUAAAUGAUCAGCCUGUGUCAAGCAUAUGAAGACCUAAGAUUUCAGACGCACUGGAAUCAUCCUGAAAAAUUCAUCCCGCACACCCAAAUGGAUGAUCAAAUGACCGUCAUCCAGGGAAAGUCUGGGAGGUCUCAUGCAGUGUGCAGACACUGGAAAAUUCCUACCUUCCUACAGAAGACGUGAAAUUGAGGAAAAAAGAAGCAAUACCAAGUUGCAUUAGGAGCCACGAAAGCCAGGCUUUGCCAACUUUACAGUUUGGGGCAGGUUGGCUGUUAGCUGGAAUGCCAUCUGGGUAUUGAGGACCUUGCCCAUUAAACAGGAGCUCCUAUUUAAUGUCUUGGUAAGAGGAAGCACCACAAUCACUAUGUUAGUGCUUCCAGGUCAAGGUAUUUCCACUGUGAUGACAUUAGGGUGCAGUUCUCUGCAAAAUAGUGCUGUUUUAAGCUGUCUAAGUGUGAGAUUAUGUAUUACAACAGGGAGCUUUUUUUUUUGCUUAUUAUCUUUUGUAAGACACCAAGGAUGAAAGAUACUUACUUCAUCAAGGUAAGUGAGCUGUUUAGUGCCACUGAAUAUCUUACCCCUGUGGCUCACCAUAGAAACCCAGCCUGGGUAUUUUAUUGCCUUCUGUACAGAUAUAUUGAAAUGAGAUGCUCAUCACCACAGGUUUCUUGCCACUCUACAUAUCCGUAUUUACUCUCUGAGCUGGAGUUGUCUUCCUAAGGGUAAUGUGAGAAGGAUUUUCUUUCCAAUAUCCCCAGAUUUAUAGGGUUUCUAUUUUACAAGACCUUAUGGCACAUAUUUAGCUAGAGGCAGGUAAAACGAAAAAAGAUAAAAAAGUCUAGCACCACCAGAGAAGAAAGGGAUUGAAAUAUAAGCAGAUGAUUUGUAGUGUAGAAAGAAAAGUGGAACCUCUUUGUUGCUGAUGGUCUAGUGAUUGUAGCACAAAUUUCUGUGGAUUGAAGCAAUGGCUCGUUUGUACUGAGAAAAGGUGCUUUAGAUUAAUUUUAGAAACUUCAAUACUGCAAUGUGCUAAAUUUUAAUUAUUUCACUUCCUGCUUGGUAUAUUAAUGUUGUGAUUACCCUUGAAAGAGUAUUACCGAUGAUGAUUUAUGCAAAACCCAGUCAGCUCCACAGCUCCAUCAGUUUCAAUUAAAACAAGCCACAGAGGAGGUGUGCUGCGGCCCUGGUGCCUGUGAUCACCAUUGCUCCCACAAGCAGGUACAGUCCGUUUACUUAAAGCAUUACCUUUGGUUUUCAUUCUGGAACCAUCUCUUCCAUGGCAUAACUCACCAGUGAGAAAGGAAACUGUAGAGAUUUGGUCUGCUGGACUUGGAUUCAGACUGAAACCAUCCAGGGAAAUGUAUUUCAUCUGUACUUCUCUGCUGAUAUAGGAUAUUCGGCGCCAACCCUUCCCUUUUUUGAACUGUUUGACAGCUGAACUGGCCAAAAGAAACUAUUGACCAGUUAGCAUUUUCUGAUUUCAAUUAACGACACUUGGUCAGUCUCUGGGCACUGGGGUCAUCUGGAGUUAAUCAUAAAGUAUGCGCGUUCUCUAAAACGAAGCCCUGGCCUCGAAGCUCAUUUAUCUCAAUGACUUCAACUAUCCAGAGGUCAUAGGGUUUUUCAUGGUGCGUCCCCAGCACCCAGUGGCUCUAAUUACUAAUUUGGCUGCACAGUGAUUGAAAUCUCCUUUCUACCUGGCAACCCUUCCUAAAUCUAGUCCAACAGUGUCGCUGAGUUUGCCUGCCAGGUCCAGGAGGGGCUCUUCUUUCUGAGUACCAGAGAGACAGGCAGCCAAGCCUGAUUUCAAUGGCAGUUCCAUUUUAAUCAUAUUUGGAAAUUCUUGACUAUAGGCUUCUCAUUUAUAAAGUCCAAGGAGUCCCUACCUGCCAAGUGAGAGCUCUCUGGACAGCUUGCCAAGAGCAGAAACUGAUUCCCGGCAAAGACAGGAAAACGCAUGUGCUGUCCUCUUUUUUUCACGAGACAAAACGCUGGGACGGAAUCGUAGAAUCUUGGAGCUGGGAGACUGAAGCCUCCCCAGGGCUCAUGCAUGGUCUCCAGUGGACUCUUCUUUCCAAAUUCAUCCCCUGCACUCUCUUCUUCCUCAGUCUAUACUGAGCAAACACACUUGAAGGUACCAAGAGCCUUCCUACCACAUGGCCUUUGCCCUGGCUGCUCUCUCCAUCCGAAAAGCUUUGCUCCUGUAUGUUGAACGGUCAGGUUUGUUUGUUUGUUUGUUGUAAUCCUUUAGGUCUGAUAUCGUUUGGUUGUAUGUCCCCACCCAAAUCUCAUCUCAAAUUGUAAUCCCCAUAGUCUCCACAUGUUGAGAGAGGGACCAGAUGGGAGAUGAUUGCAUCAUGGGGGCAGUUUUCCCCAUGCUGUUGUUGUGAUAGUGAGUGAGUUCUCAUGAGAUCUGAUGGUUUUAGAAAGCAAUUUUCCCUGCUCUUGCUU